rnacentral:rRNA from 1 species
GAACGAGAAAGGGGAGCAAUCCCUGAGUAAAGUGGCGACCGGGUGAGUAACACGUGACUAACCUGCCUUCGAGUGGGGAAUAACCUCGGGAAACCGGGGCUAAUACCGCAUAAUGCCUUCGGGUUAAAGGAGCAAUUCGCUUGAAGAGGGGGUCGCGGCUGAUUAGCUAGUUGGCGGGGUAACGGCCCACAAAGGGGAAGAUCGGUGUCCGGCCUGAGAGGGCGCACGGACACACUGGAACUGAAACACGGUCCAGACUCCUACGGGAGGCAGCAGUGGGGAAUUUUGCGCAAUGGGGGAAACCCUGACGCAGCAACGCCGCGUGGAGGAUGAAGCCCUUUGGGGCGUAAACUCCUUUCGACUCGGAAGAUAAUGACGGUACGAGUGGAAGAAGCACCGGCUAACUCUGUG